rnacentral:rRNA from 1 species
GACGAACGCCGGCGGAGUGCUUAACACAUGCAAGUCGAACGGAAAGGCCCUGCUUUUGUGGGGUGCUCGAGUGGCGAACGGGUGAGUAACACGUGAGUAACCUGCCCUUGACUUUGGGAUAACUUCAGGAAACUGGGGCUAAUACCGGAUAGGAGCUCCUGCUGCAUGGUGGGGGUUGGAAAGUUUCGGCGGUUGGGGAUGGACUCGCGGCUUAUCAGCUUGUUGGUGGGGUAGUGGCUUACCAGGGCUUUGACGGGUAGCCGGCCUGAGAGGGUGACCGGCCACAUUGGGACUGAGAUACGGCCCAGACUCCUACGGGAGGCAGCAGUGGGGAAUAUUGCACAAUGGGCGGAAGCCUGAUGCAGCAACGCCGCGUGCGGGAUGACGGCCUUCGGGUUGUAAACCGCUUUCGCCUGUGACGAAGCGUGAGUGACGGUAAUGGGUAAAGAAGCACCGGCUAACUACGUGCCAGCAGCCGCGGUGAUACGUAGGGUGCGAGCGUUGUCCGGAUUUAUUGGGCGUAAAGGGCUCGUAGGUGGUUGAUCGCGUCGGAAGUGUAAUCUUGGGGCUUAACCCUGAGCGUGCUUUCGAUACGGGUUGACUUGAGGAAGGUAGGGGAGAAUGGAAUUCCUGGUGGAGCGGUGGAAUGCGCAGAUAUCAGGAGGAACACCAGUGGCGAAGGCGGUUCUCUGGGCCUUUCCUGACGCUGAGGAGCGAAAGCGUGGGGAGCGAACAGGCUUAGAUACCCUGGUAGUCCACGCUGUAAACGGUGGGUACUAGGUGUGGGGUCCAUUCCACGGGUUCCGUGCCGUAGCUAACGCUUUAAGUACCCCGCCUGGGGAGUACGGCCGCAAGGCUAAAACUCAAAGGAAUUGACGGGGCCCCGCACAAGCGGCGGAGCAUGCGGAUUAAUUCGAUGCAACGCGUAGAACCUUACCUGGGUUUGACAUGGAUCGGGAGUGCUCAGAGAUGGGUGUGCCUCUUUUGGGGUCGGUUCACAGGUGGUGCAUGCCUGUCGUCAGCUCGUGUCGUGAGAUGUUGGGUUAAGUCCCGCAACGAGCGCAACCCUUGUUCACUGUUGCCAGCACGUUAUGGUGGGGACUCAGUGGAGACCGCCGGGGUCAACUCGGAGGAAGGUGGGGAUGACGUCAAGUCCUCAUGCCCCUUAUGUCCAGGGCUUCACGCAUGCUACAAUGGCUGGUACAGAGAGUGGCGAGCCUGUGAGGGUGAGCGAAUCUCGGAAAGCCGGUCUCAGUUCGGAUUGGGGUCUGCAACUCGACCUCAUGAAGUCGGAGUCGCUAGUAAUCGCAGAUCAGCAACGCUGCGGUGAUACGUUCCCGGGCUU